rnacentral:rRNA from 1 species
AUUGAACGCUGGCGGUAUGCUUAACACAUGCAAGUCGAACGGUAACAGGCCUUCGGGCGCUGACGAGUGGCGGACGGGUGAGUAACGCGUAGGAAUCUGCCUCAUAGUGGGGGACAACGUGGGGAAACUCACGCUAAUACCGCAUACGCCCUACGGGGGAAAGCGGGGGAUCUUCGGACCUCGCGCUAUGAGAUGAGCCUGCGUUAGAUUAGCUAGUUGGUAGGGUAAAGGCCUACCAAGGCGACGAUCUAUAGCUGGUCUGAGAGGACGAUCAGCCACACUGGGACUGAGACACGGCCCAGACUCCUACGGAGGCAGCAGUGGGGAAUAUUGGACAAUGGGCGCAAGCCUGAUCCAGCAAUACCGCGUGUGUG